rnacentral:rRNA from 1 species
UGAGUAACCUGCCCUUAACUCUGGGAUAAGCCUGGGAAACUGGGUCUAAUACCGGAUAUGACUCCUCAUCGCAUGGCGGGGGUGGAAAGCUUUAUUGUGGUUUUGGAUGGACUCGCGGCCU